rnacentral:lncRNA from 1 species
AUGAAUGUAUGAAUACAUCAAAUUUAUCAGUGGAACAGUACUUUCGGAAGAAUUCUGAAGACUUCAAAAAAUUAUGAUAUCCGUGAUUGAAUAUGACCUGCUUAGUAAUUCUUAAAUUGUCGACCAUCAUAAAUUAUCCAGAUUAUGCGCUAAUUAGUUUCCACUAUUCAAUAUCCGGACAUUGUUCUUCAAACCUCUUUGCAUUUAUGUUCAAAAAACUUCGAAGAAACUACAAACAUUGACAAAUGAUUUGAUGCAAUGUUGAAUUUAUGCUGCUAAUUUUUUUUUGUAAGGAAGGCUUAAGGGAGUGGAAUCUUUUUCCCCUCCCAAUAAUCAUGGUAUCUUCUGAAUACCAAUCUUAUAGCAGAGACUGUUGACUUGUUAUCGCAUCCGGUUUCAGAAAAUUAUCGAUCAUACAAUAAACAACUAUUUUUAAGAAAUUACCUUUUGCUAUUUCUUGAGCAGCAACUGGCACAACAAUACCAGAAUACGAAUCUCCACCAACGUAGAGUGGAUUGGAGAGGAACUCUGGGUGAUCAAUAAACCACUGCAUCACAACCCGAGUGCUCGUAAAUCAAUCGCACCGUUCUCCUCCUGAACAUCUUAAACAUAUGAAUUCAAUAAAUUGAAAGAAAUAGCAAUAGCCCCCACCUUUCUAAGGAAAGUGUGGACUUGUCGGGCCGCUUUGGUAUCCCCUGUCUUGUAGCUUUUCCCCACACUCGAAUAGGAGAAUCCAGUCCCGACCGGCGAAUCGAGAAAGAUGAUGUUGCACACCUGAAGAACCACCAAAGCUCAAAAAGCGAGAGAGCGAGAGCAAGAGCGAGAGAGAUCAGACCUUAGUCCAAGUAUAUGGGUUGUAGACCAAGGUUGGUAGGCCUCCAGUGUAACUAGCAACGUCAAAUUUUAGAGGGCCUGCAAGAUUAGAGAGAGGUACACAUGACAUCAAUCCAUUAAUAUUUACAUGCUAGAGUUGCAUCUCAGCUCAACAUAAUCAAAAAAAAUCCUGUGAGAUAAUUUCUGAUUUGGGUGGAUUGAGUUGGGUUAAGCGAAAAGCCAGGCCCAAUCCUUCAGAUAUACUCCAUUCAGAUCGAACUAAACCAAAAACCUAACCACCACCAACCUCAAACCAAUUUGAGUGCAAAAUUAUUAGCUGAAAUACAAUUUAAAUUAGGUUAGGUUUUGUGAAUGUCACAUAAGCGAAGUUUGCGCCUACUCUAUGUAACUUUGUAGGAAUCUUGUUCUAGGAUGAUAAGUUAUGCUCGAGUUGAUUCAGAUCGGUGGCCUUCCUAUGUAAGUUCAAGUUUGUCCAACUCGGCAAAAUGCUCAAUACGAGCUUGACCCAAUCUACCACUGGGUUAAUAGCUUCCAACCAAGCUCAAUCCAAGGAGAUUAUGUUUGAUCCAAUUUGGCACAAAUUAUGGCUGGGGUUGAGGUAAGUUUAAAUUAAGCUUACCCUCGUUUCGACCUCACUUCCUGAUUGUCUCUCUUGAAUAAUAGGGAUCACAUCAACUGAACAUGGGCCCGGUUUAUCAAGUCACACGAAUCCUAUGUCCAAUAUACAUAGCUCGACAUGCGAAGAGGCUAUUUCUAUGCUUCAAAUUUAUAAUAUCUAGAUCACAAUGAAGCAACCUUAAUAUUGCAGCAAGGCUUGCUUUCUAAAAAAAGUAUUCUAGUGCACAAAACUCCUACCAUUGCUGGAUUUGACGAAAAGAAAGGAUAUAUAAGCACUAUUACCCCUGGUAUGAAGAGACCAAUUUUAUGUUUCAAAUAUAUAAUACCAAAGUCACAAUGGAGCAAUCUUGAAGUGAACUUGUAAUACUCAGGUCUCAUCAUUUUUUUUUUUGAUAGUAGUUUUCUUUCUAGAUAAUAGAGCCCUUUAUCACUUUUACUUGUAUCUAUGGAUGAAGAGUAGAGGUGUGGUGACUCAAAAAUCUCAUCGAAAAACAAGCACCAAAUGGCAGGUAACUCACAUUUUGCUUUGUCGGCACACUUUAAACUUUAGCGAGAUCAAUUUAUAAAGGAUAUAUCUGCUAUACACUAGAAUUUAUAGCUACACUAAACUCCUUAUGUCAUCUCGGACUUCUGCUAAUGGCUACUAUUACUUCUAUUGUAACAACCCAAGACCUCACCCACACAAGCUAGCUAAAAUAUGGUAUUUGAAUUUUUUGGUCCUGUAUAAGUACCCAAGAUCUACCCAGCAGCACAUAGCCGAUAUAGGACUAAAUAUACACUCACAUGGAUUCUUACAUACUCCCCCGUUUAAGCCCUAGCGUCCUCGUCAGACUGAGUUCGAACUACAUUCAAAUCAUAGCUCAAGCACCACGAUCGUCUUGUGAUCAGCCCUCAUGAACUCGUCCUGCAGUGUUUCUUGGUCCAUAUAUGCCAUGCGUCGGGUCCGGUCUAAUACUAUUUGUAACAACCAAAGAUCUUAUCCAAAAAGACUAGCGAGAAGGUGUUAUAUAUUUAAUUUUUUGGUUCUGUAUAAAUACUCAAAAUCUAUAUGAUUACUAGCCGAUGUGGGACUAAACACAUGCCCGUAUGGGUCCUCACAUCCAUCUUGUUCAUAGAAUCAUGUGUGACAGGGGUUGUAACAACUUCAUCUAUGACAUGGUUUGAAUUCCCUGCAUCCAUUAUUAUAAUUUUUGUUGCCUCAAGCCUCUUCCUCCUGCUCUUUAAUCCAUAUUUGAACACUUCUAACCAAUAUAAUAGACUUUUAAAGCGAACUCAAUACUUCAACGCAGCACGAGUAUUGAAGUGAAUUCAUUGACUUUGAAUCGUGAUCGCUAAAACUAAAAGAACCGUACCAAUCACUUUGUUGAGUAGAGGAGCCUUACCAAUCUGAAUCGCCAAUGCUGAGAGCCCCGAGCAGCCCGGGCCUCCUGUCAGCCACACUAUUAGAGGAUCCUCCUCCGGGUUCCUCUCAGACUUUAUGAAGUAGUAGAAAAGCUGAGCAUCGUUCACUUCAUCCACCUCCACGUAUCUAAAACAUGCAAAGUAGAAGCACAAGUUGCCUAAAUUUUCCCAUAAUUGAGAAGCAGCAGCCGUGCACCAAUUAGAACAUGGAUGUUAAAACAUGGAAAGCUCACCCGGUUUCCAAAUGGAAGGGCAGGGUUCCAUGAAAUCCUGGAAGGUGGGUGAUGGUGUUCAGAGCUGACACAAUAGAAGAACAUGAGAACGUUGGUAGCAGCAGUACAAAUAGUAUAGAGAGCAUCGCCAAGGAAGAGGAGAGCUUUCUAGCUUCCUUGGCUACUGCCAUUCUUUGGUCCUCGCAAAUUAAAGGCCAUUAGCAUUUGCCACCCCCUUUUGAGAGGAAGAGAAACGGGCCGGUAGCCGACGACGAGCAGAGGUGGGGGUUCCUUUAAUGGUACAGGACAAACAAAAUAUUGAAAAUUUCAUGUCAUUUGACAGAUGAAAUUGGACAGGUGACAAAAGAUUAAAAGAAUGAGAAGUUGGUGGAGGUGGGGGCCAAUUUGGAUAAGUCACACGCAGUCACCAUCUGAUCGAGCCAUCAAGGGUCGGAUUUGUAUCCAUCACUUCCAAGUUUGAGUAUCAUACGGGUGUCCAGAGUUCUCGUCGCAACUUCUCUUGGGGAAAAAGGAAGGGAUCGAUGGCGUCACAAAGGAGGGAAGUGGGCCUUCGUUCCUUUCUUCUAGUUAAUACUUCACACGUUGGUUUUCUGGUAGAAAUUAAUGGCUACCUACUUGCUACUUAUUUCAAAUGGUGAAUUAUUUCAACGUUAACAUCACAACGGCUACGAGCGCCACCCGUGUGAUUGUUCAUCAAUCUCGAAGCGUAUUAUAAUGAAAUCCAAACCCUUUGCCUUCGUCAAGGAAGCGGAAAAUGGUUUUCUGGUUAUAGCCAUAGCACCAGGCAAGCGAAUAGGCGCUGUUUGUACUCGGCGCUAGGUCACGGAUGACGUACGAGAUUUGCACCGUGAAACUCAGAUGGGACCAAAUAAUUUGUCCAUUCUGUCAGGCAACGAUCUUGUCAAAGGGUCAGCUGUCCACCGUCGAGGGGCCGAGAGCGCCUACUAAUUAUUAUUAUUUUAAAGAAAGGCGAAAAAAAAAGCUCAGUCCUAAAGUUUGGUUUUGUAUUUCCAAAUUUGUGACAUUGCCCGUCGUCCUUUGUUUCAAUUUUAUAUGAGAUCUCAACCAUCCAUUAUAUACUCGAUUAGUCUUGCAUGAUCCCACAUGUUAUACGAGAUCUCAGCCAUCCAUUAACUAAUUCGUUCAUCUUACAUAUUGCCGCAUGGACAUGUUCCCGAAUCUAGUAUUUUGAACUAGAUUGGGAAUCUGUGCUCUUCUUCUGCAUGUCCAUAGGCAUUAGGCAGUCAACCCCCAAGAAUUAUUUAAGACAUUAGCUAUGUUUAUGGUUUACUGUUCUGUUUUCGAUUCUCUGUUUUCUGUUCUAAUCAACCCUCAGAUAUACCAAAAAAAAAAACCAAAGAACAGGGAUAGGCUAUAAAAAGUAUUAUGCAAUAUGUAUCACAUUUAAGUAAAUUACAACUAUCACAAUUUUGUGAUGGCAUUCUCUCCUGUAUCGUGGUGGGGCGGGUUUACCCUCCAAUCAACUUGUUACGCCAAAGAAAAGGAGAGAGAGCGAUGAGGAAGCCUAAAUCAAUAGAGGAAGAAAAAAAAAAAAGGAAAAAAGGAAAAGAGGAGGAAAAAAAUAGGAAUAUAUAUAUAUAUAGGUAAAAAAAUAAUAGAAAAAGUUAGAGAGAAAGAUUCUAUUCUUGGUUCACCCUCUCUUUAUCCACCUGAUUUGUAGAUCUUAUUUAAAAGUCCUAAAUUGAUGUUGCAGACUGCAUAGACCAGUCUUAUCUACCUCUUUAUCUAGUUUGGACUUGAAGCCUACUCAAGUUCAUUUCCAUUCCUCUAGAGUUUCUUAAAUUGUAUUUAUAUUUUCAAAUAGUUGAAUGCCAAUUAAUUUAUCUUGCUAAUUGGCUUGGAUAGGUAUAGCUGAUUCGCCUAUCUAAACCUAAUAAUUUUUAGGCGAACAAAGAUAAGUGACCCUGGCACAAACCUUCCUCAUUUUUAAAUUAUUUAAUUUAUAUGUAUUAAAAAAUAUAAAUUAUAGUGAUGUGAUUGGUUUUGUAUUCUCUUAAAAAUUUAGGAUCCAUGAUUAUGAAUAAUUCAUAUUCUAGCAUUAUGCUUUACUGUGGAUGAUUUAUGCUUGAAUUAUGCUCUCUAAAAUUAUGGGAAUAAAAAAUGCAUGCUACUAUGAAAUGAUAUAUAUGGCAAGAUUAUAUGUUUUAAACUUAAACCAAGAGACCUACAUAUAAUAAAAUUAAAAAUUUUAAGAAUUAAAGCAUAAAUUUUAAAAAGACACCAACUAAAAAUAAUAUUAAAAAUGUCUUGAACUAAUAUGUAAAAAUUCUUACCAUAGAAAAUGAGAGGAUGAGGGAGGGUGGUAAGAUAAAUAAUGCCAUGCUUAGUACCAUAAAAAAAAAGGUAAAACAAAUACCAUCGGGAAGUAAUAUUUUUUUUCUACACUAUCGAGUGGAGGUAAUAUGAAAUUGUCAGAAAUGCCUCCACUUUUUUCAUUGUAACCCACACAUGUUCUUUUUUAAUAUUGUCAAUACCACAAUAGUCCCAACUCAAAACAUAAGGCCAGCCGAUCAUUUUCAGUAGCUCAAUAUACGAUUAUGCUAAAUCCAAAUAUCUAAUUUUCUAUAUAACGAUUUAAUUAUUUUUCCAAAUUAAUCAAUUAAUGGUGCAAUAUUUAUUUAAUAAAAUAUUAGAAAUACCAAAAUUUAUUUAUAAUAAAAAAUAUAUUUGUUAAUAUAUAUAUAUAUAUAUAUAAUUAAUUUAAAAUAUUUAUUAACACAUGUAAAUAUAUUUCAAUAUCUGAAAUGAGCUAUAUUAACAACAGCCUAUAUUGACAACCAUUAUAUGAGUGGGAUAUAAAUGGCCAAUAAAUAAAUUCAACAAUAAAUAAAUAUUAUUAUUUGAAUUGUUUAUUCAAAUAUAUUUUUAAAAAAUUUGUUAAUAUUUUUAUAUAAGAUUAUAUCCAAUUGAAUAUAGUAAUUUUUUUCUGGCUUAUUUUUCAAAUUAAAUUUUUUGCCUACGGUAAAUUUUAUUUCUUCCUAUUAUAACCAUUUUCUCAAAUAAAUAAUUUUCAAAAAAUUUCAAGUAUUUGAUAAUCUGGCAUAUCCUAACCAAACCGAACCUAAGCUAUGAAACGAGGCUACAAGGACCACACUAUUAAAAUCCAAGAAGCAAUAGUCCAAGAAGUGGAUGCUUUUUAUAUUUUGAUAAUGUAAAUAGUUGGACAGUAGUAAUCGUCUAUUCUGUCCAUUCACGGGCGGUCUUUCCUUGAAAAAACAACCAAGAAACAACAAAGCUGGUGCAUGCAUAAGGGUUCACAAUUUUGAAGAUGAAUUACUCUGGAAUCUUGGUAGCUCUUCCUUCCAAUUCUGGGACUUCUUAUUAAGUACUUUUUUAUCAUAGAGAACAUCAGUUGACCCCAGGCCCGCAGAUUAUAAUCAGGCUACUGCUGAUUUUGGGGUUAAUUAUGGAGGCUAAUCAUGUUACAGAGGGGCACCAGAAAGCCACCUUUGAAGCAUAGCCAGGCUCUCUUUUGGCCGGUAUUCUGGAGCUAGGUGUCCCGCACCCUACAAGGACAAGAAUAAAACUGUGGAUAAAACAUCAUUAUACCAAUCAAGUCCCUUAUGACCUCCUACUGUUACCGUUUACCUUCACAGUUGCAAAUGUUAGGUUAUUUGAGUAAGCUCUCGUGAACCUGAGAAGGGAACAUCAAGAUUUAUAAUCUCAUGUUUUAAAAACUAUAAUGAGAAGCUCCCUAAUGACAUUGGCUAGUGCUUGGGAUGAAUUGUGCAACAAGAGAUCACCCUGCAACUUGCCCAUCUGCAGACCAUGGCCGCCAGUCAUCCACGAUGGAGAAGUUGAGAGAUCUAAUCCAUCCUUGCGUGCCCAAAAAGGGUAUAAGCAAGUCAUGAUCUCCACUGCACAAGAAAAGCAGCAUCGAGUGAUAGCAUUUUGGCAUGGAACAAUAGAAAAUUUAGUAUAGCAGGUAAAAUUAAAAUAUCUAAUUAUGCGAAACGUGUAGGGACUUCACCUAUAUACCAACGCUCGGUAACCUCUGCUUGUCAGAUUCAGAUGAAACUUUAUAGAACUUGGGAUAUCGUAUGUAUAAAGUAGGUCAUGGUUGCAUCUCUGCCAAUGUUGCACUGUCCCCUGUUUGGCAUCGUCAAAAAUAUGCGUCUUCACUCCAUUUUACAUCACUUACAUCUAAACUAGAAUAAAUUUUAGUCUGCUUGAUUGAAUUAUGACACCAUGAACAAAGCUAUUUAACAAAUCAAAUGAAGACAUUCUAUGGUAAUUCACAAAGAAGCAGCAUUUCACUAAGACUAUUGAAGGUUAUCAUUCUGCUAGUGUGCAAGCAAAUAUUAAAAUGUCAAGAAAUCCUUUAAAAUGGAAGGAUUAUUAAUACCCAGAUCAAGUACAUUUGACAGAUUUCUAUGCAACAAUAUUCUUUUUAAAAUGGAAGGAUUAGCGCACAUAUCAAGUACACUUCACAGAUUACCAUGCAAAAAUAUCCCAUGAGUAACUCUGGCAAACUUAAUUUGUCUUAUUACUACCCUUAGAACGUUAAAUUUGUGUAGCAGAAAUACAUAACAUGCACGAUGAGAUUUCAUGUUACUUACCCUGCUAAUUUCACUGCAUACAGCUCAGAAGUGAAGAUAAUCAGGUAUAAUACCUUAUGAAUGUUGAGAGCCUCUCUAACAGUAUCAUUGUCUGCCCAGAUGUAGGAAAGCAAGUAUCCAGAACUCUGUAACCAAAUACAAGGCUAGAAACAGUGAGAUUUCUUAUCCAAGAAAAGCAUCAACAAUUUCAAAUUUUAUGCAAGCCGACAAUCUUUACAUGAUUUAGCAUGUAUAAAAGAAAAUAGGGGCAAAUCUAAGUGCAUAUGUGGAGGCCCGUUUGCCCAAAUUAACAAGAAUAUACACAUUAGUACAAAGAUAAACACCUGCACAGCUGCUCCUGAUUGCACAUAUCAGAAUGCACAAGCAAGCACACAUAAAUGCAUAAACAUCAGCAGCUAUGUUACCCAAGAACAAACAUAGAUGCAUGUACAAGCACUCAUACAUGAAGAUAAAUUAGGUGUAAGAUAUUACUUGAACCAAAUCAGAUGAACCAAUAUUUUCACAUAGCAAAAUUCUAAACUAAAGUUUUCAACAGGGAUCAAGUUUCAACAUGAAAGCAGGGAUAAGAAGUAGCUUCGAAAAUCUAAGUGCAUUUUAAGAUGCUAAUGCAUUUGAGCACAUUGAUAGAAGAGUUUAGAAAAUACAUAUUACGACACUUGAUAGCAUCUGAAAGUGUUAGUUUGUGUUGGAGGGGUGGGGAUUUACUCUGCACUCCAAAGGAAGGUCAGAUUUUAAUAAAGGAAACUCUUUAACAUCCUCUUUAAGCAAUCUCCUGCUGUAUGCAGCAACCAUGUUGGGCUUUGGGCUCGCGAAAAAGCACACUGGCUCCAAAAUUUGCAUUAUGUUUAGUCCCUCAGUGCACUGCAUGUAUCCAAAAAUCCUUUUCCAGUUAAAGAGGUCAAAACAGAUGUUUUACCUUUUAAGAGUGAAUUGCACACCCACCUCAUUUACAGACUGCAGAUAGUUUGCACAUUGCUCAUUUCUAGGACUAGCAUAUUCUCCUCCACAACUUUUCUUGGUUGACUGAAAGAAAGAAAUAGUACAGAAUUAAAUAUUAUAUGAUUUCUCCCAAAACUAAGAAAUACAAAUGCAGUUCUUCAUAAUGAGAAGUCAUAGUGUAAACAACUCAACAGCAUUAGGCUUGGAUAUUAUAUCAUAUCUGCGACAAAAGUUUCCCCAAAUUACUAUUGUUGUUGUGGCGAAGCUGGGACAUGUACCCUACUUCAAAGUAGCAAUAUCUAUGAUAAAAUUCAUAUGUAAUAAUUAUGGUGCCCUUUUAGUGGUUGCUUUUUGAAUGCUACUUUGACUAUUUAAGGCAAGUAUGAUGUUUAGAAUUCUCUAGAUCAAACUUAAAAUAAUAAUAGAAUUUUACUAUAAAUUAUCAAUAAAUGCACAUUAGGUAGAAUUGAUAUAAAGGAAAGAGUUUAAUGAAAUCAGUGAUAUAAACUAACAGACACAUCCACAGACAUGGUUCAAUAGAGACCAUCAUCAGAUAUCUUGCAAAAGAGGUUUAUCUAUUUUUUUGAACAAUCUCUAUGAUGUGAUAGUUGCCUUCCAACAACUAAUUUUUAUCAUAUGGUUUCUUUUCAUCUCCCAUCUAAUGCUAAUCAUUAAAAAAAAAUCAAGGAAUGCUUUGUUUGGUGCAUCUGGCAUACCUCAGUACUGGAUUACUUAGCAUGGAUUCUGAUUGCUCAAGAUGUUGCUGAUGUUUAGUGUUCACAAGGAAAACAUAAAUAGUUUGACAUAAUCUAGGAAAAUGUUUCGAUAAAUUCUUUCACCUCAUAAAGUUCGUCAGAUAUAAGUCCCAUCCCAUGAGCAUAUGGAACAAAUGCUUCAUUAUCAAACUUCUCAUCUGUUACCGGGUUGCCAACCAGAUAACCCUGGAACCAUAUCCGGAAAAGAAGAUUACAAGAACAUAAAGAUAAGCAGUACAUAAGCAAGAUUACAGGCACAGAAAAUAGAUGCGAAUAUUGUUUUCCUUCUUAUGGUUGAGAAGAUCUCAAAAUCAGCAAGCAAAAUGGUGUGUAUGGAAGAAACAAUAUUAACAAGAACAGCCACAGCAGAAAAGAAAGGCCUGUCCCCAGAUGUUUGUUACUGAGUCGACCUUCUAAGAAAAGGGGUAUGGAUCUUUCUCCCAGCAACCAUUCAGAUUAUUUCUAAAAUAAGCUUUGCUAUUAUCUCAAUCUCAUUUUAGUCCUGAAUGACUCAAGUUCACUACAUAUGUAAAGCAAGAGAGAGCUAGAGAGUAAUUAAUAAAGUACACGCUAAUGGAUGCUAUUUUGUGAAUAAUUUGUUCAUUUAAUUUCCAGAGAACAUCCAAACAGCCACAUAUGCUGCUUGGUCCUGAACCUAUCACACCAUUCUCUUAUUGCUUUCACAGAUUGCAGUUCUUAUACUUUCUGAUAAAGGAAAAGAAAAUCUAAGUGAUGCUGCCAAUAUACCAGGAAAGAUACAGAGGAAGAAGUCAAUUAUAUUUUGUUUAUGAAUACACACACAUUUAGGUAUAUUUUUUGGUAAGGUUCACCAACCUUGAGAUUGUAAGAAAGUUCAUCUCCAUCUUGAUCACCUGCAACAUAACAAACCUUAAAGGCAUAAAGGCAGAUGAAUGUACAAAUACAUCAAAUUUAUCAGUGGAACAGUACUUCAGGAAGAACUAUGAAGACUUUAAAAAAUUAUGAUAUCCGUGAUUGAAUAUGACCUGCUUAGAUAUUCUUAAAUUGCCGACCAUAUAUCAUAACUUAUUCAGAUUAUGCGCUAAUUAGUUUCCACUAUUCAAUAUCCGGACAUUGUUCUUCAAGCCUCUUUGCAUUGAUGUUCAAAAAACCUCAAAGAAACUAUAAACAUUGACAAAUGAUUUGAUGCGAUGUUGAAUAUAUACCGCUAGUUUUUGUUUGUAAGGAAGGCUUAAAGGAGUGGAAGCUUUUUCCCCUCCCAAUAAUCAUGAUAUCUUUUGAAUACUAAUCUUAUAACAAAGACUGUUUAAUUGUUAUCAGAUCCGAUUUCACAAAAUUAUCGAUCAUACAAUAAAUGGCUAUUUUCAAGAAAUUACCUUUUGCUAUUUCUUGAGCAACAACUGGCACAACAAUACCAGAAUACGAAUCUCCACCGAUAUAGAGUGGAUUGGAGAGGAACUCUAGGUGAUCAAUAAACCACUACAACACAACUCGGGUGCUCGCAAAUCAAUCAUAUCGUUCUCCUCCUGAACAUCUUAAAUAUAUGAAUUCAAUAAAUUAAAAGAAAUAGCAAAAGCCCCC